UCUAAGAGUGGUAGAAAUUGUUUAAAAUUAAACAUCUUCUUUUUAUAACAAUUUAUUCAUUGGUAAUGAGCAACGAAUCAUUUGGGGAUAAAUCAAAUCUUCCCUUCAGUUACAAUAAAUCUUUAACGUCUUAAACGUUUUAAAUUAGCAAAGCGAUGUACUUAACAGAAUGAUGACAUGGAUGAUGACAUGGAAUUGAUUAUUUGCAAUGUUUUUUGAGCGUUGCUUUUACAAUUCACUUCAAAUUUAACUGAUAAAGUUUCGCUCAAUUCAAAGUAAGUUAAGGUGAGCUGUACAAUAUUGUCGUCAGCUUAAAAACUGUCAAGUGGAACGGAUAUGGAACUAAAUAAAAUUAAGCCAGAACUAAUCUUUUCAUUGUUAAGGUAUAAAAUUUCGAUUCUACUUAGCAUAUUCAUGAGUCGAAUUUGUUCUUUUUACGCUCUUAAAAAUGAAGUUUUUUGCUAUUUUUGUGAUAUUUGUGGUUCUCAUGAUAACUUCCUUGGUUCAAUCUAAGUACAAUGCGGCAUGUGGUGCACUUUCUCGAACAAAAUCAGAAAAGUGCCUUGACAGAGCACCCAGAUGGUCAUACAGUCCUCUGUUGAGAAAGUGUAUUAGACUCCUUCAGCCCACCUGUAAUAAUAAGGCCUCAGACAAUAGCUAUCUGAAUGAAGAGAUAUGUAAAGCCAUGUGUAACUUAGUGAAAUAAUACCUAGUAAUCAACACUAUUGUUAACGAUUCAAAAAGAGUCCUAAUAAAGUUACACCAGUUGACCAGUAA